rnacentral:lncRNA from 1 species
GACCACAAAAGGAAGGUUGGGAUUGAUUUUGGGAGUUUUGGUUUCAAUAGUUUAGGAAUUAGGGGCCAAAAAAGGGCCCAAAUAAGCAUUAUUCUUGGUUUUCGCACAAUAACUUUAGUAUAAGUAAAUAGAAAUCAAUGAAAUUUAAACACAAGGUUUAUGACCACAAAAGGAAGGUUUGGAUUGAUUUUGGGAGUUGAGGUCCGAACAGUUUAGGAAUUAGGGGCCAAAAAGGGGCCCAAAUAAGCAUUUUUCUUGGUUUUCGCACCAUAACUUUAAUAUAAGUAAAUAGAAAUCUAUGAAAUUUAAACACAAGGUUUAUGACCAUAAAAGGAAGGUUGGGAUUGAUUUUGGAAGUUUUGGUCCCAACAGUUUAGGAAUAAGGGGCCCAAAGGGUCCAUUAAACUUUGUUUGAUUUCAUCAAAAAUUGAUAAUUUGGGUUCCUUGAUAUGCCGAAUCUAACUGUGUAUGUAGAUUCUUAAUUUUUG